ACAGAGGGUGCGAGCGUUAAUCGGAAUUACUGGGCGUAAAGCGCGCGUAGACGGUUUUGUAAGUCAGAUGUGAAAUCCCUGGGCUCAACCUGGGAACUGCAUUUGAGACUGCAUGGCUAGAGUAUCGAAGAGGGAAGUGGAAUUUCCGGUGUAGCGGUGAAAUGCGUAGAUAUCGGAAGGAACACCAGUGGCGAAAGCGACUUCCUGGUCGAAUACUGACGUUCAUGUGCGAAAGCGUGGGGAGCAAACAGGA
rnacentral:rRNA from 1 species